AACACUAUAAAUUGCAUAUUGGCAGUAUGUUUCACAAUACCAGGAGCCUGUGACCGAAGGGGGAGUCGAAAGGCGUUACAGGUAUACAGCCUAUCAGCAAUUUGUACGUUGGUGCUGUGGUUAUCUUGGCAAAGACAGGCGAGUGCUGAUGUCGUGUAAUGAAGUCCAUACAUGAGGCAUUACCUGAACCCAGUGCCAACUACACAGAGUUUAAAUAUCCUCCACAGACAGGUGAAUUUUAGCUUCUCCUUUGACCAGAGGCUCCUCAUGCUGUAGCUAUGUUAAUGUAUUGCCAGUAUGAAUUACUAUGUCUGUGUUAAAUUAAUUUUAUCUAUUAAAAUUGUAUAUACAAUAAUUUAUUUUUGGUUAAUUACAAUGCAAUUCAACUAUAUAAUAUAGAAUGCCCUGAAAUUGAGGUGUUUUUUGUUCAUAAAUAGGCCUAUACAAUCUGCGUAUCAUUCACUAUGGUUAUAAAAUAUACUAUGUAAAGCAUUAUUCCAAUAUCUUAUGAAUUACAGAGCAAACAUACAGUGUAAGAUGUAAAAUUGUAUGAUUCAAUUUUCCUGACGAUACUAGGCACCUAUUUAUUAACAAAAUUAAGGCAUUACACUAUACCAGGUUUUGUGUGCUUCGUAAUAGCAUAUUUAUUUUAGUAAUACAGUAUGUCCAACAACCUUAAAAACAAUAUGCAUGUCUUUUUUUUUUUUUUUAAUGUAAGUAGUAUUACUACUGUACUGUAUAAUUGUAAUUCAAUUAAAAUCAUUUACAAUUUGAUUAAUGAAAUACUUGUUUGAUUACUAUUGCAGUAUUCAUGCUACAAGAGACUCUCAUGAUAUUAUUUAACACUGACGAACUCUUAUUAUUUUUUCACAAAAUGGGACAACCUUUGCUAAGUACUGAAACAAAGUGAAGACACUUUCCACUAAUUUACAGUUAGAUUAUGAUUGCAGUAUUCAUGCUAAAGCAUGCUUUAUUAUCAUUAAAUGUAAAGAUUAGUAAAUGUAAUAAUAAAUAUAAUUGUUAUCCAAUUUAACUUGUUUAAAAAAUGAUUAAUGGUAAUUAAUUGCUUGUUUAUUGCACUAACAGUAUUAUCAUUUCAAAAAACCCUUAUAUAUGAAUUAUCUUAGUAAAUAACAUAAUUGGUUAUAUAAAAUUAUUUUCCAUGAUUUUUUUCUACACAAAUUCAACACAUCAGAAUGCAAUUUAGUCACCAGAAACUAUCUUUUGUUCUCUUUC